rnacentral:rRNA from 1 species
GACGAACGCUGGCGGCGUGCUUAACACAUGCAAGUCGAACGGAAAGGCCCUGCUUUUGUGGGGUGCUCGAGUGGCGAACGGGUGAGUCACACGUGAGUAACCUGCCCUUGACUUUGGGAUAACUUCAGGAAACUGGGGCUAAUAACGGAUAGGAGCUCCUGCUGCAUGGUGGGGGUUGGAAUGUUGGGGCGGUUGGGGAUGGGCUCGCGGGUUAUUAGUUUGUGGGUGGGGUAGUGGCUUACCAAGGGUUUGACGGGUAGCCGGCCUGAGAGGGUGACCGGCCACAUUGGGACUGAGAUACGGCCCAGAGCCCUACGGGAGGCAGCAGUGGGGAAUAUUGCACGAUGGGCGGAAGCCUGAUGCAGCAACGCCGCGUGCGGGAUGACGGCCUUCGGGUUGUAAACCGCUUUCGCCUGUGACGAAGCGUGAGUGACGGUAAUGGGUAAAGAAGCACCGGCUAACUACGUG